rnacentral:pre_miRNA from 1 species
AGUGUGAUAACUGGAUCAAAUUGUGAUUCCAUUCCAAGUUUUUGGAGGAAUCUCCAUACUGCUUUCUAGAGUGGUUGUACCAAUCUGUAAUCCCACCAGCAAU